rnacentral:rRNA from 1 species
GCAUCGAUGAAGAACGCAGCGAAAUGCGAUAAGUAAUGUGAAUUGCAGAAUUCAGCGAAUCAUCGAAUCUUUGAACGCACAUUGCGCCCGCCAGAAUUCUGGCGGGCAUGCCUGUUCGAGCGUCAUUUCAACCCUCGAGCUCCCCUUUCGGGGGGAGCCCGGCGUUGGGGACCCGGCGCUAACAACGCCGGCCCCGAAAUGGAGUGGCGGCCCGUCCGCGGCGACCUCUGCGUAGUAACAACCACUCGCACCGGGACCCGGGCGCGGCCACGCCGUAAAACACCCCACCUUCCGAAUGUUGACCUCGAAUCAGGUAGGAAUACCCGCUGAACUUAAGCAUAUCAAUAAGCGGAGGA